AAAUUUCAGUCAGUGAUGAUGAGGAAGCAAAGCCGCUCUCCUUGUUCAUCUUCUUCUUCUGCUGCUGUUGUGUCCCUCUGCAAGGUGCUCCUGUUGGUCCUGGCUCUCAUCUGCACCCUGGAAACUGUCUCAGUAGAAGGAGAAUUAUAAAACCGAAGGAAGUACUAAGGCUGUGUUGGAGGAGGAGAUAGAGAAGAUUGAGAAGAUACGUAAAACGAGGGAGAGUGGCAGCAGCAGCAUUAGUUGGUGGGGGCGUACCACUGAAUCCACGGUACCCGGCGAUUCCUGAAGAACCUUACAUAGGCCGGAGAGGCGAUCCGUACACAGGUCGGGGAGGCGAACCUUACACACGCCCGGGACG